rnacentral:antisense_RNA from 1 species
UGUUAUGGCGGCUGUGCGCGGGAGGCCCUCGGGGUCUGCCGGGUUUUCCUAUUGUCCCGGUUUCCAGCCUGCGUACAGCUGCCACCCAU